UACGAGGGGGGCAAGCGUUGUUCGGAAUUAUUGGGCGUAAAGCGCGCGCAGGCGGUCUUCCAAGUCAGUGGUGAAAGCCCGGAGCUCAACUCCGGAACUGCCAUUGAAACUGUAAGACUUGAGGAUGAGAGAGGUGAGUGGAAUUCCCAGUGUAGAGGUGAAAUUCGUAGAUAUUGGGAAGAACACCGGUGGCGAAGGCGGCCCACUGGCUCAUAUCUGACGCUCAGGCGCGACAGCGUGGGGAUCAAACAGG
rnacentral:rRNA from 1 species